rnacentral:rRNA from 1 species
GAGGAAAGCUGGCGGCGUGCUUAACACAUGCAAGUCGAACGGAAAGGCCCUGCUUUUGUGGGGUGCUCGAGUGGCGAACGGGUGAGUAACACGUGAGUAACCUGCCCUUGACUUUGGGAUAACUUCAGGAAACUGGGGCUAAUACCGGAUAGGAGCUCCUGCUGCAUGGUGGGGGUUGGAAAGUUUCGGCGGUUGGGGAUGGACUCGCGGCUUAUCAGCUUGUUGGUGGGGUAGUGGCUUACCAAGGCUUUGACGGGUAGCCGGCCUGAGAGGGUGACCGGCCACAUUGGGACUGAGAUACGGCCCAGACUCCUACGGGAGGCAGCAGUGGGGAAUAUUGCACAAUGGGCGGAAGCCUGAUGCAGCAACGCCGCGUGCGGGAUGACGGCCUUCGGGUUGUAAACCGCUUUCGCCUGUGACGAAGCGUGAGUGACGGUAAUGGGUAAAGAAGCACCGGCUAACUACGUG